GGGGGCGUAAAGGUUUCGACGGGGAUUUUGAACCAUAAUAAGCGGGCAGAGACGCACGACCUCUUUAAAAUGUGCACGUUUAAAUAUAAACGCUAAUAACAAAACAGAACUUCUGGCUGCUUAAUUAAGCCAGCGUCCUGCUGUUGACUACCACGACUUCAGCGAGGGCGUCGAUUAGUGGUGAACGCCGAUGGGGAGUACUCCUGCCUCAUCGAUGUAUAGGGAGUUACUGAAGCGUACAGCCUGUUUAUCGGCGGUACGCAGAGGGAAUGUCAAAGGAUAAACUACGCUCGUAGAAAGUUAUGCGGAUAGGUUUUCGGACACGGGUUCGACUCCCGUCGCCUCCACCA
rnacentral:tmRNA from 1 species